rnacentral:misc_RNA from 1 species
GUGAAUCAUCGAAUUUUUGAACGCAAAUUGCACUCUCUUCGGAGAGUAUGCCUGUUUGAGGGUCAGCCUAAAAAAAUUCGACAUCGUUGCUGUUUCACGGCGACAUUCGUCGGAAAUUGGGUCAUCUUAUACCUUUGGUGUUUAAGCGGCUUAAAAUUUUCUUUACGAGUCCACGAACGUCUCUU